rnacentral:rRNA from 1 species
GGGGAAUAUUGCACAAUGGGCGAAAGCCUGAUGCAGCCAUACCGCGUGUGUGAAGAAGGCCUUCGGGUUGUAAAGCACUUUCGUCAGGGAAGAAAGGUGCGGAGUUAAUACCUCCGUACUGUGACGGUACCUGAAUAAGAAGCACCGGCUAACUCCGUGCCAGCAGCCGCGGUAAUACGGAGGGUGCAAGCGUUAAUCGGAAUCACUGGGCGUAAAGCGCGCGUAGGCGGUCUGGUCAGUCAGAUGUGAAAGCCCCGGGCUCAACCUGGGAACUGCAUUUGAUACUGCCAGGCUAGAGUGUAGUAGAGGGAAGCGGAAUUCCGAGUGUAGCGGUGAAAUGCGUAGAUAUUCGGAGGAACAUCAGUGGCGAAGGCGGCUUCCUGGACUAACACUGACGCUGAGGUGCGAAAGCGUGGGGAGCAAACAGG